rnacentral:lncRNA from 1 species
ACAAAGGUGGCUUCCACAGUGCAUAGUGGUUAUCAGCUGUGCCUCCCUCUUAGAGGUCCUCGGAGUCCAGAGUCCUCGAAGGGAAAUCUGACACAAAGAAGCAGCAGGUAAAUGAAGGAGAAAAGAAAAGAACAAAAUCCACCGGGAACCAGAGACUUCCAGGCUCCAAAGACAGGCAAUCUCCACCAGGAACAUAUGACCUAGGAGCAGGAGUGAAGGAUGGGAGUGAAGCAAGGAAGGAAAGAGAGUCGAUUACAGAGCUGUUUCGUUGAGCUGGUCACAGCUCCUGUGUCCAAUCUCGUGGGGCUGCCUGAGAUGUCUUGAAGUCAUAAGCCCAGAGAAAGAACAGAGGGGAUGCCUUUAUCCACUGGAUCCAUUUUUCCAAUGAUCAAAGGGCUGGAGUGCAGCUGAGGUCUGGCUUUAGCCAAGGAGAGCACCUUGAAACCUGGCAGAGAAUUACAGUGAACCAGAAGACUAAGUGAAGCAUGAACUGGCAUAAUAUGCUUUCCUGGCUGAAAACCAUGAAUGACCCAGAAUAGUUCAUAUCUUUGGAAGAUCCUUAUUUUCCUUGUAAAUGAAAGUCAUGCAUUUGGAAUAAUAACAUGAAAUGAUGUGAAUGGUAGGGACUCAAAAACUUUCUCUUCCAAAAAUAUUCUACAGAUUCAUGCUCAGGAAAGCCAAAUGCUCUACAAUAGGAUGAAGUGGCUCCAGGAGAGUUCUGUUUACUACUUUAAUAAGUGACUAAAUAUAUGGUAUUUACGCAUAUGAAAUUGGCUUAACUAGGACAUCUCAUUUCCUAGCCUUUGCAUAUAAAAGAGAAUUGACAGUAAUUCAGGUUAACUCAAAAUGUAUCAUUUAAUUGUCUUUGUCCCACAUGACUAGUAAGUAGGUCACUAGCCACUUUUUUUUUUUUUGAGACAGAGUCUUGCUGUGUUGCCCAGGCUGGAGUGCAGUGGCAUGAUCUUGGCUCACUGCAACUUCCAACUCCUAGAUUCAAGCGAUUCUUCUGCCUCAGCCUCCUGAGUAGCUGGGUUUACAGUCAUGCGCCACCAUGCCAGGCUAAUUUUUUGUAUUUUUAGGAGAGACAGGGUUUCGCCAUGUUUGGCAGGCUAGUCUCGAACCCCUGACCUCAGAGAUCCACCCAUCUCAGCCUCCAGAAGUGCUGGGAUUACAGGCAUGAGCCACCGCGCCCGGCCACCAGCCACUUCUAACCCUACUCUCUCUCGGAAGUUUUGAGUUGUAUGCACACUCAGACCUCUUUGCUUUCCCAGUGUAUCAGUUUUGACCUAAUCCUUUUUCUAUGUAUUUAACUCUUGCUAUAGUUCCUUUGGAUCGUAUAGUAAGAUUGCCAAGUGAAAAACUCCUGAUGUGUGUUCAAGUCAUAGACUCCAUUUCUAAAUCUCCAAAUUCAUAUGUUUCAUUUCUUAUCACCUUCUCCUUCCUCCUUCUGUCUCUACUUCUGUUAUUCUGUUCCUGCUUAUCCCAUUGGUCCUGUCUUAAGUUAUCCCUUGG